rnacentral:rRNA from 1 species
ACAGGGGAUUACCUCAGUAACGGCGAGUGAAGCGGUAACAGCUCAAAUUGAAAUCUGGUCCCCUCUGGGGGCCCGAGUUGUAAUUUGAAGAGGAUGCUUUUGGCGAGGCGCCUUCCGAGUGCCCUGGAACGGGACGCCACAGAGGGUGAGAGCCCCGUAUGGUAGGACGCCGAGCCUCUGUAAAGCUCCUUCGACGAGUCGAGUAGUUUGGGAAUGCUGCUCAAAAUGGGAGGUAAACCCCUUCUAAAGCUAAAUAUUGGCCAGAGACCGAUAGCGCACAAGUAGAGUGAUCGAAAGAUGAAAAGCACUUUGAAAAGAGAGUUAAACAGCACGUGAAAUUGUUGAAAGGGAAGCGCUUGCGACCAGACUUGCGCCCGUCGGAUCAACCGUCCCUCGUGGGCGGCGCACUCCGGCGGGCUCAGGCCAGCAUCAGUUUUCCCGGGGGGAGAAAGGCGGUGGGAAUGUGGCUCUUCGGAGUGUUAUAGCCCUCCGCGUAAUGCCCCCGGGGGGACUGAGGACCGCGCGUAAGCAAGGAUGCUGGCGUAAUGGUCGUCAGCGACCCGUCUUGAAACACGGACCAAGGAGUCGUCCUAAUAUGCGAGUGUACGGGUGUAAAACCCCUGCGCGUAAUGAAAGUGAACGGAGGUGAGAGCUUCGGCGCAUCAUCGACCGAUCCUGAUGUUCUCGGAUGGAUUUGAGUAAGAGCAUAUUGGGCCGGACCCGAAAGAAGGUGAACUAUGCCUGUAUAGGGUGAAGCCAGAGGAAACUCUGGUGGAGGCUCGCAGCGGUUCUGACGUGCAAAUCGAUCGUCAAAUAUGGGCAUGGGGGCGAAAGACUAAUCGAACCU